rnacentral:ncRNA from 2 species
ACAGAAUAUUGUGGAAUAAGUGGUCCUUAUUAGAAGGACAUAAUAGGGAAGCCGGUUAGAAUCCGGCGCGGUCCCGCCACUGUAGGAGGAAGUCGUUCUGCAUUAUGCCACUGGGCAGUAGCUUGGGAAGGCGCAGAAACGGUGAUGAUCUCGAGCCAGGAAACCUGCUUAUUCUGAACUCACCGG